rnacentral:rRNA from 1 species
AUACGUAGGGAGCGAGCGUUGUCCGGAAUUACUGGGUGUAAAGGGAGCGUAGGCGGGGCUUUAAGUCAGGUGUGAAAUAUAUGGGCUCAACCCAUAGACUGCACUUGAAACUGAGGCUCUUGAGUGAAGUAGAGGCAGGCGGAAUUCCUAGUGUAGCGGUGAAAUGCGUAGAUAUUAGGAGGAACAUCAGUGGCGAAGGCGGCCUGCUGGGCUUUUACUGACGCUGAGGCUCGAAAGCGUGGGGAGC